rnacentral:rRNA from 1 species
GUCGAACGAAGUAGCAAUACUUAGUGGCAGACGGGUGAGUAACAUGUAGGUAUCUGCCCUUUGGCCUGGAAUAACACGAGGAAACUUGUGCUAAUACCGGAUAAGUCUUUACGGAGAAAGCUUUAUGCACCAUUGGAUGAGCCUGCACUUGAUUAGUUUGUUGGCGGGGUGAUGGCCUACCAAGACUUUGAUCAAUAGCUGAUUUGAGAGGAUGAUCAGCCACAUUGGGACUGAGACACGGCCCAAACUCCUACGGGAGGCAGCAGUGGGGAAUCUUGCACAAUGGAGGAAACUCUGAUGCAGCGAUGCCGCGUGAGUGAAGAAGGCCCUUGGGUUGUAAAGCUCUUUCGUCGGGGAAGAAAAUGACUGUACCCGAAUAAGAAGGUCCGGCUAACUUCGUGCCAGCAGCCGCGGUAAUACGAAGGGACCUAGCGUAGUUCGGAAUUACUGGGCUUAAAGAGUUCGUAGGUGGUUGAAAAAGUUGGUGGUGAAAUCCCAGAGCUUAACUCUGGAACUGCCAUCAAAACUUUUCAGCUAGAGUAUGAUAGAGGAAAGCAGAAUUUCUAGUGUAGAGGUGAAAUUCGUAGAUAUUAGAAAGAAUACCAAUUGCGAAGGCAGCUUUCUGGAUCAUUACUGACACUGGGGAACGAAAGCAUGGGUAGCGAAGAGGAUUAGAUACCCUCGUAGUCCAUGCCGUAAACGAUGUGUGUUAGACGUUGGAAAUUUAUCUUCAGUGUCGCAGUGAAAGCGAUAAACACACCGCCUGGGGAGUACGAC